CGAAGGUCCUUGCCGCCAGUGGUAUCUGACAUUUGCUGCCCUGCUUCUGUGUCCUGUAACCCAGGCAGAAAGUGCAGCACAUGUCACCUUGAUCUGGAGGAUUCAUGUAGUCAUGUCCAUCCUGAGGAGGAGCAGAGGUCUCAUACCAGCAUUCCGUCCAGCUAGAACAUCUACCAGUGUUCAGACCUCAGAGGUGGUCGAAGUAGACACAAAUGAGAAUGAAAUUGUAAACCCAGAUUUCACCAAUAGGAAUCCUCGAAACCUAGAGAGACUUGCGUUGGCAGUUAAGGAUCGGGGAUGGGGCACAGUGUGGCCGAAUCGUCAGUACUGGCAUAGGAUACGACUAGAACGUACUGGGCAUCACGUGCACGCAAGCGUGGAACAUUGUAGUGGCAAUGUUGUACUUUCUGCCUCCACCCAAGAAUGGGCCGUGAAGAAACAUCUUUACAGUACGAAAGAUGCCAUGGCUUGUGAGAAUGUUGGUAGGAUAUUGGCUCAACGCUGCUUGGAGGCUGGAAUACAUUUUAUGUUGUUUCGGGAGAUCCCAUGGGUGUUCCGCAGUGAGUCGCUACAGUGGCCCUUCUUUCCCUAACCUGCUACCUACCUGGCCUCCCCAAGAGUGAUGGUUUCAACAAUUUGCAGGUGCAGAGGUUUCGAAAUGCAAUGAUUGAAGGUGGAAUAGUGUUAAGUGAACCAAGACGCAUAUAUGAAUGACGACAUAAUAGGUGCAAUUGCUGUCAGGAGUACAAAGACCUACUAAGUUUACCUGCUUCUUGGAUCUCGGUGUAACCACAGCUAUCUCUUGGAGCUGGCAUACACAUUUCUUGAAAACUCCUUCUGCAUAUUAAGCAGAACUCCAUCUCUAAAACUUUCUAACCUUUUGUUGAGUUGUGAUGCUGCUCCACAUCAUUGCCACAUGUUGACAUUUCAGGUUCAUGUCAUGAAAUUACCUUCAUCUGUCAAUGUUAGUCCAUCAGUUAAUAUUUUGCUGAGAUUUUUUUUCAAUGAACUAUUCCUAUUAAAAAUACAAUUUCAAUAA